AUGGCGUGUGCUGCUGUAGGAUGUGCAGGAUGUGCCCCAGAGCCCUCCUGCUUCCAUGGCCCUGAGCUCACACUUGUUCCAGCAGUAAAAACAACACUGCUAAUAAGGAUAAUGACUGCAGAGCUGGAAGAGUAUAUCUGCUGUUUUCACAGCUCUUGGUGUUCUCUGAGUUCACAUCACUGCUGUCUCCUGGUAAAACGGGAAACAUCUGAAUGGCAUCUCUGCAAGAGCAGAGCAGGCAUGAAGGUUUGUGGAGCACCCUGAGUUCAUGGGAGAGCAUGAGUGGUCACCCCAAAACCCACCACCAGAUGAUAAGGGACAGCAGUGCGAUCUGUAUCAAUCACUCUUGCAAUGAAUGUCCCAUCCUAAACUACCAUUUCUCAGUGGAAGAAGAGAGAAAAUAAAAAUGGCAUCAAAGAAAAUCA
rnacentral:lncRNA from 1 species